CCUACGGGAGGCAGCAGUGAGGAAUAUUGGUCAAUGGACGAGAGUCUGAACCAGCCAAGUAGCGUGAAGGAUGACUGCCCUAUGGGUUGUAAACUUCUUUUAUAUGGGAAUAAAAUGUUCCACGUGUGGGCUUUUGUAUGUACCAUAUGAAUAAGGAUCGGCUAACUCCGUGCCAGCAGCCGCGGUAAUACGGAGGAUCCGAGCGUUAUCCGGAUUUAUUGGGUUUAAAGGGAGCGUAGGUGGAUUGUUAAGUCAGUUGUGAAAGUUUGCGGCUCAACCGUAAAAGUGCAGUUGAAACUGGCAGUCUUGAGUACAGUAGAGGUGGGCGGAAGUCGUGGUGUAGCGGUGAAAUGCUUAGAGAUCACGAAGAACUCCGAUUGCGAAGGCAGCUCACUGGACUGCAACUGACACUGAGGCUCGAAAGUGUGGGUAUCAAACAGGAUUAGAUACCCUGGUAGUC
rnacentral:rRNA from 1 species